UGAAGCUAUGCAAUUGUUCAAUAAGCAUGCUUUUAAAAAUGAAGUUCCAGAUGAGCGUUUUAAGAAGUUCUCAUUAGAGGUAGUAAAUCACGCUAAAGGCCUUCCUUUAGCCCUCAAGGUAUGGGGUUCUUUGUUGUAUAAAAAAUGCCUAACUCAAUGGACAAGCACGGUAGAUCAAAUAAAGAAAAACUCUAGUUUAGAAAUUGUUAAAAAGUUCAAAGUAAGUUAUGAUGGGUUAGAGCUUGAAGAGCAAAAUUUAUUUUUAGAUAUAGCAUUUCUCUUAAGAGGGAAGAAAAAAAACUAGUCAUGCAAAUCCUUGAGAGUUGUGAUUUUGGAGCGGAGCACGGAUUGAAUGUCCUAAUUGACAAAUCUCUUGUGUUCGUCUCCAAAAAUAAUAUGAUUAAAAUGCAUGACUUAAUUCAAGAUAUGGGUAGGUAUGUGGUUAGAAUGCAAAAAGAUUCAGGAGAGCAGAGCAGACUAUCAGAUGUUGAAGAUAUCGAAAAAGUGAUGGUCAACAAUACUUAUUUGCCGUCUCUGUGAAAGCUAAAUCUCAGCUACUCCGAAAGGCUGAUGCAAACACCAGAUUUCACGGGAAUGCCAAAGUUGGAGUAUUUGGAUCUGUCGAACUGUAGUAAUCUUGAAGAGGUUCCACGUUCCUUGGGAUGUUUGAGAAUUGGUUAAAUUUGUAUCAUUGUGAAUGUCUUAAGAGUUUUCCAUGUGUUAAUGUGGAACCUCUUAGAUUUCUGGAUCUACGAUAUUGCUCUAGUUUAGAAAAAUUUCCAGAAAUCCUCGGAAGAAUGAAGCCAUAGUUAGAGAUCAAGAUGAGCUGCUCUGGACUAAGUGAAAUACCAUCAUCUAUUAUCGAGCAACGCACGCUAAAGAUGAGUUCUAUGCAAAACCUUGUUUGUCUUCCAAGCAGCAUUUGUAAGUUGAAAGGUUUGGUGAAGCUAAAUUUGUGGGCGUGCUCAAAACUUGAAAGUUUGCCAGAAGAGCUAGGUGAGAAAAAUUGGAGAAGCUUGAUGCCAACUUUACUCUAAUCUCACAACCUCCGUCUUCCAUUGUCCGGUUGAACAAGCUAAAAAUGCUGACUUUUGCAAAGCAAAAAUCAGAAGCUAGAGUGUACAUUGUGUUCCCUCGGGUGAAUGAAGGGUUAUUCUCAUUGAAGCAUCUGGAUCUUAGUGACUGCAAUUUAAUAGAUGGAGGACUUCCAGAAGACGUUGGAUCCUUAUCCUCUUUGGAAAUGUUGAAUCUCAGUGGUAAUAAUUUUGAGCAUUUUCCUCGAAGCAUAGUCCAACUUGGUGCUCUUCAAUACUUGGACUUAUCAUAUUGCAAGAGGCUCAAAGAGUUGCCAGGUUUCAUGGGGAUGCAAAACUUGGAGACUUUGGAUCUCUCUCACUGCAAUUUAAUAGAUGGAGGACUUGUCGAAGACAUUGGAUGCUUAUACUCUUUGAAAGUGUUGGAUCUCAGUGGAAAUAAUUUUUAGCAUUUGCCUCAAAGGAUAGCCCAGCUUGGUGCUCUUCAAAACUUGGACUUAUCAGAUUGCAAGAGGCUUACACAGCUUCCAGAAUUUCCACAGCAAUUAGAUACAAUACGUGAAGAUUGGAGUAAUCAUUUGAUUUGUAAUUCGUUGUUUCAGAAUAUAUCAUCAUUGCAGAAUGACAUCUCUGAUUCACAUUCCUUGUCACUAAGAGUGUUUACGAGUUGCGGGAAUAAUAUCCCAAGUUGGUUCCACCAUCAAGGAAUGGAUACAAGGGUAUCGAUCAGUCAAUUUGCCUGAGAAUUGGUAUGUAUCGGAUAACUUCUUGGGAUUUGCUGUAUGUUACUCUGGCAAAUUAAUUGACAUCAGAGCUCAGUUGAUUCCCUUAUGUGUUGAUGGGAAGUUGUCGAUGCCCCAAAAACUUGCCUUAUCUAACCAUUCAGAGGGUCUUCAAGAAUCUAAGAUACAUUUUUUCUUGGUACCUAUUGCCUGCUUGUGAUGCAUCUAAUGCGAAUGGUAAAUCACCAAAUGACUCUGAGAUUAUUAGUUUUAUUUUUUUGGAGAAAUGAAGCUUUUUGGACUUCGAUUGUUGUAUAAAAAUGCAUCUGAGCUUCACAUUGGGAUAAGGAGGAUCAGAUAUGAACAUCAUGAAGAGACCACCAGUUGCUCUUAUAAGAAACAAAGGUCACAAGAAGUGCCAGUCUCUUCAAAAACACAAGCCCGGGAUUUUAGAUUUAAUGUACGUAUACACCUCAUGAAAUUGUGUUCUCUCUUUAUAUAUAAAUUAUUUCUUCCCCUAUUGGCAGGAGGUCAUCAAUGUGUGUUGUACAUAUCAAUAGUGAGUUUGAUUCUCCACCUUGUGUCGAGCCAUCAUUAAUCAGACAUUCUCUGUCUUUGCUGUGUUAUAUUUUCCCAAGAUAGUGACUGAUCCAUGGUGAAGUUGAGGUUCAAAAUUUCUUUUGGACUAGAAUACCUAGCUAGUUUAAUAAUGAAAUGAAUCCACAGUUUUGCUUUUGCUGACCAAUUGCAGAUGAAUGUGCUCAAAGCAAGAAACCUUUGCCAAAAUGGAUGGGUGAAAGAAGGCGUUGGAACUUUUAGCAAGCGGACUAAAGGGGAUCUAAAUGUAGUCUCUAUUGAUGUCUACUGUCAAAUGUACACACACUGUUUGAUUUUUUUUAUCAAACAGUUGUGCGACAUAAUAGAGAUUUAGAAUUAAAGUUUGCAAAUGAGAUUAUUUGUUAGUAUUUCCUUUGUUCAAAUUGGUCAAUCGGAAUCUAAACUUCUUUGGCAUUCUGUGUCAUAUCAUAUUUGAGUGUUCUGCCAAAAGUGGCAUACUUCUCAACUUAAUAUGUACCAUCAUUCCUUCAA